UACGAAGGGGGCUAGCGUUGCUCGGAAUCACUGGGCGUAAAGGGUGCGUAGGCGGGUCUUUUAAGUCAGGGGUGAAAUCCUGGAGCUCAACUCCAGAACUGCCUUUGAUACUGAGGAUCUUGAGUUCGGGAGAGGUGAGUGGAACUGCGAGUGUAGAGGUGAAAUUCGUAGAUAUCGCUUGGAACGCCGACGGUGAAAACAGCUCGCUGGGGGUGUGCUGACGCUGAGACACGAAAGCCAGGGGAGCGAACGGG
rnacentral:rRNA from 1 species